rfam:Triticum urartu cultivar G1812 contig251935, whole genome shotgun sequence.
CAACUACUCCCUCUGUCCCAAAUUUCUUGUCUUAGAUUUGUCUAGAUACGGAUGUAUCUAAUACUAAAAUGUGACUUGAUACAUCCAUAUCUAGACAAAUCUAAGACAAGAAUUUUGGGACGAAGGGAGUACUUU